AGCAACCAUAUGAAUUAGUUGGCUGUGAUUUAAUGGGUCCCUUCACAGAGAAACCAGCUGGGAGCGGAUACAUAUUUACAGCUACUGAUUACUAUACCAAAUGCGUGGAAGCAUUUGCAAUUCCAAACAAAACUGCUGUCGACGUGUCAAAAUGUGUCCAAAAACUGAUAUAUCGGCAUGGAGCGAUGAAUGCGAUCUUAACAGAUCAAGGAAGAGAAUUCGUGAAUCAGAUUAAUCACGAAAUGUGCGAGAAUUGAGACAUCAACCAUAAACUCACUGCUGCCUAUCAUCCACAGACCAAUGGCUUGGAUGAAAGAACAAAUCAAACAAUUAAAAGGGCACUAAGUAAACUGGUUAGUGAGGAGCAAAACAACUGGGAUGAUCGUCUCGAGGAAGUGCUCUUUGCAAUCCGGACAAAAAAGCGGUCAUCCAAAAAGUUUUCCCUAUUCUUCCUGCUAUAUGGACGGGAGGCAGUUUUUCCUAGUCAGCUACCAAAAAUCAACGUUGAUGAGAUAAUUGGAGCGUUGCCAAGUGAGAAAUUUCUUGAAGAAAUGUUGAAAAGAGACAAAUUACAGGCCUGCAGAUAUCAGCUGAAGUUGAAAUAAACUGUGAAGUGGCAAAAAAGAAAUAACAAAGAGAUUUCAAGAAAACAAAUUUAAAGAAAAGACCCUACACAGCUGUAAAUAUAGGAGACAAAGUCUUGAAAUUCAAUGCCUCCAGGGCAGGACGCAAGGCAAAAGGGGACCUUGGAACAAACUAUACAGGGCCAUUCAUAGUUGAUGAUAUUGUUGGCGGGGUUGCAAAACUGAAGACAUUGAAUGGUGUCAUUCUAAAAACAUCAGUUGCGUUAAAUAAUGUAAAA